AAAAAAGAAGAAAAAAGUAAUGUAUCGGGAAGAGGGGAUCUCCUUGCAAACUAGCAAGCAACAUGUACAAGAAAACCAAACCAAUUGGGGUCGUCCUUUUAGCCAAUCCUUUUCAUACCCACUACUUCUUCCAAAUGGAACCCCUUUGCCAAAAAAAACUGGGGCAACAUUGUGGGUUUCACCACGCAUCUUUGCCCUGAAAUUCAUCAACCCGUAACCUCAAGACUGGGGCAGCUUUGCAAAUCUCAUUUGAAAUUUUCACCCUAAUUGUCAUGGAUCCAAAUCUCAGCUCAUUUUCCCAAAUGCUAAACCGGGG
rnacentral:lncRNA from 1 species